CAGAAUCCUGAGAUCAUGACCUGAGCCGAAGGCAGAGGCUUAACCCACUGAGCCACCCAGGUGCCCCAUAAAUGGAGUUUCUAGGGGCCCCAGCAGGUUCUGUGGGCUCAACUGUAGUCAGGGUCCCCAGACUGAAGUCUUAAAGAUACUAUACUGCCUUCUCAUCUAGCCAGUCCUGCAACCCCCAGUUUUUCUUGCUUGUAGACUGGGUAGAGGUUGAAAAAGGGAAAGGCAGGCUGCAUCUAGCCAGGUUAAGGUUCUCUUCUUAGAUUACAAGGGUAUACAGAGAGAAGUGCACAAAAGGGCUUGGCACCGAGGGUCCUGAGGACUCUGGAGGAACUGGAUUCCUUCCCCGGCCUACAAGGUGGCAUUCCAUGCAUUAGGUGUGCUAGAGUGGGUGGAUUUUGUUAACUGUUCAGCCUCCCCAUCCCCCACAAAAAGAGCCAUUAAAUUAUUUUUGGUUAUAUUUUAAUGAUCUGUCUGUUACAGAAAUACAGUUGAGAAACCAGAAGAGGGAGCAGUUAGGGAAGGACUUACAGGUUCUAUCCAGGUUGGCAUUCCUGAUGCAAUGGUUUCCAAGCUUCUGUAGUGCCUGUGGGCCAAUGUCUGACUUGACCACAGAAAAAGCAGUUUUUUUUCAAAGGGAUUGAAGGUGGGGUUUGUGUAGGGUUUUCUAGUCACACUAUCGAGAAAUGAAAGGUCCCUAUUCCUUUUAACCUAGAAAUAGGUUUGCUGUUUAAUGAGUGAGCCGUAAUUGUGCAGAAGAUGCCAGAUGCAUGCCCCUCAGGUAAGCCAGUGCGCUCUUCACUUUAACAGUGUAACAUCAGGGUGGUGUGAAGAGGGGCAGGAUGUGGACGCCAUUUUGAAAAUAACAAAUUACCUGAAGGUGACUAUAAGAAAUUGAAUAUGGAUUGGGAAAUCCUUGGAUUUUGGCAAAUGGCUUUGAGUUUGUGAUGUUUUAGGGAUUAGAAAGCUGUAUGAGAUGAAGUGUUGCUUCAUUGAAAUGCUUUUCCCCCAUUCCUGCCAUAUUUGAAUGUAUCAUUAACCCGACCUCUGUAAUGACACUUUGCUAUGCUUUAGCUGGAUGCCUCAAUAGUUUCCCUUAUCUGUGCCAGUUGUGGUCCAAGUUGUGCCAGUUGGGUCCAAGACCCCCAUCUAGUCUUCUGGUAAGAAAAAUUAGAGCUGGGUAAAGAUCCAAAUUUAACCCAAGCCCAGAGGCCCAAAGUAAUCCGACUGGAAAUGUCAUGUACAAGGCAGUGUUUUCAAUAUUAAACUUCCCUAAGGAAGGCACAAACUAGCCUUCUUGGAAAGGAAGAAGGGAUUAAGCCACAGAGUAUUUAUUAGUUCAUCGUUGAUACAGUUCUGAUCUCCCAGAGACUCGUGCCAAAAUUCAGUCCUCAGUGCUGGAACCUGCAGGGUGUGGAACUCCAUAGUUCAUGUGAUGGCCUCAAAUGCUAAACUAUGCCAAACUGCAUUAAACAACGGUGGGAAGUUACGGGGAUAAGGACUUUGGUCUAAAAGUUUGAAAACCAAAACAUCUAGAUUUAGGACUGGUUUGCCACAUUUAAAGAGAAGUCUUGAGUGUAGGGAAGCCCAAUUAUACCAUUACAAAGGCUGGAGAGAAGCUGCUGCUAGGUUUGUUUUAGCUGCCUGCUUUGCUGUUUUUCUUGUGUCUCUUAAUGUUUGCUUAGUGAUACUUGAACAUCUUGGUAACUGACAAAGGUCUUCCCUUGGAGGGACUUGAAAAAUACUGGUAACUGACAAAGGUCUUCCUUUGCUGGGACUCUAGCAGUAACUUGUUUAAGCAGCUGAAAGGACUAUUAAAGUUAUUAACGUGUGUUAAUUGGGUCUCAUUUGAAGACCUAUCUUAUUGAUCCUCCUCCUCCAUAAUCUGUUGCUGAAUCCUAGAGUGGGUUCCCACCUACCCCCUUUCAAAAGUUUAUUAUUUCUAUGGUUAGCUGUAAUUAUAGCAUACAUCCAGUUUAACCUGGACUGGGGGCUGGGUUUUAAUGAGGAUCUGGAGGUGUUUUUCCUUAUUGAGAGUUAUGCUUGAGCAGUGGUUGCAGAAGCCAAGAUGAUUCAAAUAGCUUUGAGUAACCAUCAAGUUCUGCUUCUGAUUCAGGUGCUGGGGCCUCACAUCCUCCCUACUCCUCUUGGAAACUAAGCCUGCUUUCAUAGAUACCUUCUUCCACCACCUACCUUCCCUUUUUACUAUUUACUAUGACAUACUCUUGGAUAUUGCCAAAGGAAGCCAUUCAGCAGAUGCUGUGUCUCUCCCCACCCCCACCCCCUUUUAUUCCUGGAUAAGUGUCUUCCCUCUGACUCUGGUCCUCAGCCCUGAGUCUGUAAUUAAUUGUUCUUACCUGUUGCACUAAUGAAUAUGAUUCUAGGUUUCCAAGGGGGGGGGGACUUGAAACAAUAGGCAAAUGGGACUUGGAUGAAUUGGUCCUACAGAUACCCUGCCUUAACUGAGGUGAUGAGUCUGCUACUCAUGUGACCCUCCACCUUUGUGGAUUCCUCUUGGUUUGUGACCAGUGUGUCUGUUUCUUGAGGAUGUACAAACUUGUUGGCAAAGGUCAAUACUUUUGUUUGUAUUCUCUGCACUGUUGCACUCUCCAAAUGGCCCCUUGAAUAUUUUUAUUAACUUGUUACACACACUUCUGUCUUUGUCUACAUUUUUCUUUUGAUGUUUUUUUUAUUUGGAAGGUUACCUGCUGUUGGAUUUAAUAAAUUUGUUUACUUGACUAUUGACAAUUCUGAGAGAAAAAUACCCCCACAAAAAACCAAACCAGUGACUUUAUUCUGGGGCGAGAUUUACCCAUCGGGAGCCUCUUCCAACAUGAUAUUGGAUAGCAGUUCCUUUGCUUUGGAAAAUAAUCCAGAUGGUACAGGAUCCUCAGACUUCAAACAUGGAUGUUGACUUCCCACUUACCAGCUUAAUGGCCUUUGGGGUCCUGAUACUUGUAGGCAAAAAGCAAAUGAGUCCUCAGAGGGCCACUACCUAAAUAGUCUUAUGGUAGCAACUGAUGUGGAUUCCCAUGAGGAACAAAAAGUGAAUUUGAGCACUGUGCUAAUGGAUGGCUCCUACAUCUAUCAGGCUGGCAGGGAUUAAGGCAAAGGAGACAAGCUGAAACUGUCAAGUGCCACUGCUGUGUGACCUUUGGCAAGUUAGUGAAAUUCCAAGUUUCCUUAUACUCAUCUGUAAAAUCAAGAGAAUUCCAUCAGAGGGUUAGGAUUUAAGUCUUUAAAAAGCACCUAAAUCACGUAAGUUUAAGGUUUCCUAAAGGAUACCAGGUGAGUAAUGCAAGGAAUCCAGAGAGGAAGAGAUGGGGGUUGGCAUGGUAACAGGACCUUUCAGGUCACUGCCCCUCCUGGGGGCUGAAUUUCUCUCUGUGCCAAAUUGGGGGUGGAGUUGGGGGAUGGGGGUUGCUUCGACUAACACGGUCCCCGAUGGCUUUAUUUGGCUCUUACAUCCUAGAAGUCUGAUGAUGGUAGACCAGUUAUGACCCGUAGCUUCCUUUCAUUGUAUUUUCUGUCUUGUUAUUGUUUGUAUUCAGGAAAGCUAUUGGCCAGCCAUCUUACUCACUUCUUUGAUGGAGGCCCUAAUGACCUUCCCAAAGAUUUCCAGCCUCAUGUUGGUACCUCCUAAAAAUAAGGGUGCUGAAAAAGUCCUACUAGAAUAUGGCAGCAAUGCAAUCAAGAGCAAGGCAUCUGACUAGUGUUUUAUAAUCCAUGCUGAUGGAGACUCUCCAUGGCCCUGUGUUUUAUGUGGGGUAGUGCUGCCGAACUUGCUAGUAUAUUAAAAUAAAGAGCUACAAAAUGGUAUGGUACCUAGUGUAAGACAAGACAGAAGAAAACACUCGGGCUCUCGUAUACAUGGACUUACAUAGUAAAGGACAAAUUCUCCUUGACUGGGUAAGUAAAGAUAGAUAAACAGGUAAAAAUAUACUUGGGGGAGAAGUUGCUGUAUGCCAAAAUGAAUUCGAGUAGGAAUAAAUGUGUAAGUGUAAAAAUUACAUUAUUU